AGCGCCGCGGCGAGGCGAGCGGCGGGGGUGGAGGCGGCGGCGGCGAGGCAGGGCGGCGCAGGGGCGGGCGCGAGCGGCCGCUGGGUGCUCUCUCUCUCUCUCUCCAGUCGCUCUCUCUCCCCGGAUGCCGCCCAGCCACAGCGAGCGCCACCGUCGUCCGGGGCAGCGCGUAGUCCGCGCCGCGGAACAUAGUCGCCUCACUCUCCGCGACGACCCUCGCCGCCCCCAUGGGCCUCUCCCCCGCCGAGGGGAAGCCGGCCUGGACAGACGAACGGUCCGCGGCAGGCAGGCGGCAGGCGGCGCGAGACAAGGGGAAGGAGGAGCCCGUCACCCUGCCUCCGCUCCCUCCGGCUGCCGUCCUCGGAUCCUCGCCUGCCGCCCGCACCCGCCUCCGCCCUCGCCGGCGGCCGUCGUCGGCUCCUCACCCGCCGCCUGCGGCCGCCUCCACGUCCGCCCUCCGCCCUCGGCCGCAUACUCAGAACUCGGAACUCACCAGUGCAUGCACUUGUUCGAUCUGCUUGAUUCACAUGCUCCUUGCUCAAUUUGGGUUCCAUUAGUUGAUCAAACACCUGAGAAAUUUAUGGAUUUACUAACGAAUUCGUAUGAUCUUUUGUGAAUUGUGAUAAUGUUCUUUCGAUCAGGAAGCUGGCAAUGCAUUAAGAUGCCGGCGUUCAUGGGAUGCGAGAGCGUCGAGAUCGAGGUCGGCUUCUCGACAGCGCCGGCGGAGAACUACGGCGGCGGCGGCGGCGGCUUGCAGGCGAGCGUGGAGCAGGUCUUCUCCGAGGACUUCUUCCAGCCCGGCCGACGGCGCCUCCACGUCGCUGCUCCGCACGCUGACGCCCAUGAUGGCCUCGUCGUCCGCCACGCCAUCGCCUCGAGAACUCGCGGCGCAAGUGGCGACGACGACGACGUCGUCGUCCUGGCUCCAUCCGCGCCCGCCGGCGCCGCACCACUUGUCGCCGUUCUCUCGCCACGGCGGCGUCGGCGGCCUCCACUUCCCGAGCGCCGAGGCCCGCCGAUUGCUAGAGAGAGAGAGAGGCAGAGAAGGAGAGAAAAAAAAAAGAUGACAGGUGGGCCCACCGGUUUUAUUUGUUUUUGCUGACUGUAUCGCCACGUGUGUGCCACGUAGGCUGAAAACCGCUUAGAAUCGAGUUAGGGUGAUAAUUUAUCUGGUUUUAAGAGUUUGGGUGUUAAAUGUCCGGUAUUGUAGUUUAUGAGGGUAAAUCGUACUACCGCAAUAGUUCAGGGGGUAAUUCGUACUAAUAGUCUAAUGAUCUAAUUUAAAAUUA